UAUUCUCAAAAACCUUUUUCUGCUUUUGCUGAAAAGGGUUUUUGGACUUGGAGGCUUUAAUGCUUGCGUUUCACUUUUGAAAGGCAAGCUCCUCUCAAAUAAAUUAGUGGGGUCCGCUUUGCUGAUCCUUGACGUGAUAAGAUGUUUCUACGUUUUGGAUUUGGCAUCGUCCCUUUGGAUGCCUGCUUCUAACCGUCUCACGGAGACAACGAUGGUGCUCUGGUCACGGCCAGACCCACGAAAGAAAA
rnacentral:misc_RNA from 1 species